rnacentral:ncRNA from 2 species
AGGAGCCGUAUGCGGUAGUUCCGCACGUACGGAUCUGCGCGGGGGGUGGCAGGUGACUGCCAUUCCUACCGCGAC